GGGCGGGUGGCCUAAUGGAGAAGGCGUUCGACUUCGGUUCACGUUCCAGGACGUGGGCAGACAUCGAAAGAUUGUGGGUUCGAGUCCCAUCCUGCUCG